rnacentral:rRNA from 1 species
AACGAACGCUGGCGGCAGGCCUAACACAUGCAAGUCGAGCGAGGACUUCGGUCCUAGCGGCGGACGGGUGAGUAACGCGUGGGAACGUGCCCCUUGGUACGGAAUAGCCCCGGGAAACUGGGAGUAAUACCGUAUGAGCUCUACGGAGGAAAGAUUUAUCGCCAAGGGAUCGGCCCGCGUUGGAUUAGGUAGUUGGUGGGGUAAUGGCCUACCAAGCCGACGAUCCAUAGCUGGUUUGAGAGGAUGAUCAGCCACACUGGGACUGAGCCACGGCCCAGAAUCCUACGGGAGUCAGCAGUGGGGAAUCUUAGACAAUGGGGGAAACCCUGAUCUAGCCAUGCCGCGUGAGCGAUGAAGGCCUUAGGGUUGUAAAGCUCUUUCAGUGGUGAAGAUAAUGACUGUACCCACAGAAGAAGCCCCGGCUAACUCCGUGCCAGCCGCCGCCGUAAUAC